rnacentral:rRNA from 1 species
CAGGCCUAACACAUGCAAGUCGAACGGUACAGGAAGCAGCUUGCUGCUUUGCUGACGAGUGGCGGACGGGUGAGUAAUGUCUGGGAAACUGCCUGAUGGAGGGGGAUAACUACUGGAAACGGUAGCUAAUACCGCAUAACGUCGCAAGACCAAAGAGGGGGACCUUCGGGCCUCUUGCCAUCGGAUGUGCCCAGAUGGGAUUAGCUAGUAGGUGGGGUAACGGCUCACCUAGGCGACGAUCCCUAGCUGGUCUGAGAGGAUGACCAGCCACACUGGAACUGAGACACGGUCCAGACCCCUACGGGAGGCAGCAGUGGGGAAUAUUGCACAAUGGGC